CCUACGGGAGGCAGCGGUGAGGAAUAUUGGUCAAUGGACGAGAGUCUGAACCAGCCAAGUAGCGUGAAGGAUGACUGCCCUAUGGGUUGUAAACUUCUUUUAUAUGGGAAUAAAAUGUUCCACGUGUGGGAUUUUGUAUGUACCAUAUGAAUAAGGAUCGGCUAACUCCGUGCCAGCAGCCGCGGUAAUACGGAGGAUCCGAGCGUUAACCGGAUUUAUUGGGUUUAAAGGGAGCGUAGGUGGAUUGUUAAGUCAGUUGUGAAAGUUUGCGGCUCAACCGUAAAAUUGCAGUUGAAACUGGCAGUCUUGAGUACAGUAGAGGUGGGCGGAAUUCGUGGUGUAGCGGUGAAAUGCUUAGAUAUCACGAAGAACUCCGAUUGCGAAGGCAGUUCACUGGACUGCAACUGACACUGAGGCUCGAAAGUGUGGGUAUCAAACAGGAUUAGAUACCCGGGUAGUC
rnacentral:rRNA from 1 species